rfam:Ochotona princeps cont2.75605, whole genome shotgun sequence.
AAUCCUGUUAUACCAGUGAUUUAGAUUAUUUGAAUCUAAAAAAAACCUGCCCAUUCACUCAGUGCUCCAGAAGGACUUGAGAGCUGUCCUUCCCUGGACAGAAGCUGAAACAUUUGGAGAAUUAAG